CCUACGGGGAGCAGCAGUGGGGAAUAUUGGACAAUGGGCGAAAGCCUGAUCCAGCCAUGCCGCGUGUGUGAAGAAGGCCUUCGGGUUGUAAAGCACUUUCAGUGGGGAAGAAAGCCUUGGGGCUAAUACCCUCGAGGAUGGACAUCACCCACAGAAGAAGCACCGGCUAACUCCGUGCCAGCAGCCGCGGUAAUACGGAGGGUGCGAGCGUUAAUCGGAAUUACUGGGCGUAAAGCGCGCGUAGGCGGUCUGAUAAGCCGGUUGUGAAAGCCCCGGGCUCAACCUGGGAACGGCAUCCGGAACGGUCAGGCUAGAGUGCAGGAGAGGAAGGUAGAAUUCCCGGUGUAGCGGUGAAAUGCGUAGAGAUCGGGAGGAAUACCAGUGGCGAAGGCGGCCUUCUGGACUGACACUGACGCUGAGGUGCGAAAGCGUGGGUAGCAAACAGGAUUAGAUACCCUGGUAGUC
rnacentral:rRNA from 1 species